GGAAAUCCACCGGGGCAUCCCUGCCCCAUCCGGCCGCCUCCUCCAUGGCGAGAACCGUGUCCAGAGGAGGACGAGCACGACCAUGAGUUCCCCGUCGUCGUCUCUCUCCGUGCUUAACCGGUGUGCCGACACCCCUCCCAAGCUUCGCCUGCUGCUACGCCGACACGGCAGCAUGGAUCUGACGUCUCCCGGCCGUCCCGAAGAGGCGGCCCAUGGGAUCCGAGCCAAGAAGAGGCCUCGCGAUAUGAUGGCCUUGGUUCUCCUCUUAUGCAGGCUAGAUCUUGUUGGCCUCAAGCAGCACCACCAACAGGAUCCAGGCGAGCAUGCGGCUGCUCCUCCACCGUCAUGUGACGCGUGUAGUGGCCGUUCACCAGGCGAGACCCAGCUCCACGAUCCCCACCACUCACUUGAUGUGCAGGUCCACACGCCAUCGACAAGUCGACCCGCGAAAGAAGCUGGCCCUACCGAUCAGGAUGACAUCGAUGAGGAGGAAGCAAUGGUGUGACGUCAUGGAUCCCACCUAUGAGUAAGAGAAGAAAAAUGAAUGUGCCCCUGUUUACAUCAAGAGAAUGUACCCCAUUUAAGGACCUAACAAACACAACUAUGGAUGGUAGUGCUAAUAUCCCACAUAAUCAAACGGACGAUCCUAAAAGGAAAAGUGUUCAAUCAUGGUAUGCCAAUGUCGGAUGAGAAGAAAGCAGAAUACAACGCGAAGUGUCAUAUAUCCUGACAGCAAACGAGAGUUGCAGCUCUAGACUGUCUUAACCAGGACCAAUUAUCACAAACAUGUGUUUCUCCGUUAGAAUGUGCUAUGGUUCAUCUCUACAACAGUUUUCCUAUCUAACAUCAUGUGUAUCUAAGUGCAGCUUCUGGUCAGGCCCCACUUGUUUCUGGCGAUCCCAGGUUCCAGUCAAAUGCAAUAGGAUAUGUAAUGCUUAUUUGUCACAUUCAUUCAUUAUAUAUUAACUCUUCUCUCCUGUGACGGUAAUGUGUCACAAAUUCAUCAAAAAAUGUGCCACUCCCUCCUGAUGCUCCCUCAUGGUGCUAGAAAAACUCCCAGGUCAGAAAAAUUAUCACGGUCGCUUCAACAUUUAUUUCUUCAAGCUGUAAUAAGAGUUUUGCGACAAGGCUGCCUUGCAAUAUUUUUUACGAUCGUAUUAUUUUCUGAAGAUUUUAUAUUGCCUGAUCAUUAAUUUGGCUUCAAAUGCUCCUGAUGAGGCUUGAAAGUUCGUUAAGUGUGGUAAGACCACUCUCACAUUCAGGUUUAUUCACUUUUAUAUUUCUGUAAAGGGGCUUGCCAAUCCAUCUAACACACCAUAGAGAAAAAUAGUGUCUUCCAGAGAGCAUGACAACUGAAAUGCAUCUUACACACCUUUGGGCAGGGGAACUUUGUGAAACACGGCAUGGUCAUGAAAAUGUCUUAGAAAAUGAAUUUAUAAUGAGAAGUUAUGUUCUAAUUUGCUCCAGCUUUACAAUUUUUGAAGAUGUCAAGCCUUGAGGCUCUUUUGUUCAGUGUUGCACAUGUCAAGUGUCGGUCCUAAAAGAAAGAAACAACUUCAGUUUCUGGAAGAUAAUAUGUACAUAUGUACAUUCUUGAAACAACUUUAGUAUCUAGAAGAUACUGUGUACAUUCUUUAUUAUUUUGGCAAGUAAAGGUUAUUUAUGGUCCACAUUUACUUUUUGUAAGUUGAGAUCUAAUUUUUUGGAUGAAGUUGUGAUUAUUCCCACAAUUAUUCAAUGUCUUUAUUACCUCACUUACAUUUUUGUUCAUUUUAUUGAUAUAUUUUCUUCCUACGACGGUUGAUAAAAACAUAACCAUGAUAAUACGUGCGUUGCACGUGCAUGUUUACUAGUAUCUUCUAGGCCGUAGCUCCGAACUAAAUGAACUUUAUAUGUAACUUGACUAGAAUCUCAUGUAGAUCAUCUUUGUGCAUCUUAACUUGCUGUUUAACAACUUGAACAUAAGUUUUAUUCAGAUCUGGACCAAUUUCGAAAUUUGCAUAUGAGGACUUACCGAAAUUGUUAUAUGUUGU